rnacentral:lncRNA from 1 species
UGAGCAGGCCGGAGCAGCUAGCUAAUAGAGGGAGAUGAGGGGGUAAGUGUUCUCUGACGGACGUUCUGGCGCAUGUGCCUUUGACGGACGGUGGACAGGUUUGUAAAACACGACGCGACACUCAUGAUCCUUAUCAUGUUGAUUGGCUUGGGCUUGGCUUGCAUCUCCAGUUCUCCGCACCACAGAUCUAAGAUUAUUCUCUGCACUGCUGGCUAGCCUGACCUGACCUGACCUGACAGCUACUGUGCAGUCAUGUCUUUGUUGUUUGAGCGGUAAUCUCUGCCGGGCAAUCCUAUGUACAGCUCCGUCUCCACGUCCAUCCCGACAUCCUUCGGCCCCGUGUGAUCGAUGGCUGCCGGCGCUGGAGGCGGCGGAGGAGCCAUCAGCAUAGGCGGCGGCGGCGGCGGCUGCUUCUUGCACUGCA